CCAAAGGCUCUUUUAAGAGCCACUAAGUUUUCAGUAUUAAGAGUUG
rfam:Mesocricetus auratus contig191462, whole genome shotgun sequence.